rnacentral:rRNA from 1 species
AUGGCUCAGGACGAACGCUGGCGGCGUGCUUAACACAUGCAAGUCGAACGGUGAAGCCCUUCGGGGUGGAUCAGUGGCGAACGGGUGAGUAACACGUGGGCAAUCUGCCCUGCACUCUGGGACAAGCCCUGGAAACGGGGUCUAAUACCGGAUAUGACCUGGGGAUGCAUGUUCCCGGGUGGAAAGCUCCGGCGGUGCAGGAUGAGCCCGCGGCCUAUCAGCUUGUUGGUGGGGUGAUGGCCUACCAAGGCGACGACGGGUAGCCGGCCUGAGAGGGCGACCGGCCACACUGGGACUGAGACACGGCCCAGACUCCUACGGGAGGCAGCAGUGGGGAAUAUUGCACAAUGGGCGAAAGCCUGAUGCAGCGAACCGCCGCGUGAGGGAUGACGGCCUUCGGGUUGUAAACCUCUUUCAGCAGGGAAGAAGCGCAAGUGACGGUACCUGCAGAAGAAGCACCGGCUAACUACGUGCCAGCCGCUGC